GAACUUAAUCCUACACAGAUAAACAGACAGAGAUUACGUCAGGUCUAAGCUGAAAUGCUUAAAUAUCUUGCUUUAGAAUAAGCUUUUUGGAGACAAAAAGCAGGCAUGUUAUGGUUAAAAGACGGCGAUAGAAACACUAAAUUUUUUCAUGCUCAAGUUAAUGGGAGAAGGAAGAGACUGAAAUUAUCAAGAAUCCAGAAUAGAUUUGGUAACUGGAUUGGAAAGGAUCACUUAAUAGCAGAAGAAGCAGUAAAAUUUUACAAGGAUCAAUUUUCUGAGAGUACAGCCCCUCAUGCUUUUGAUAUUCUAAAUCAAGUACCUUCAUUGGUAGAUAAUGAUCAACAUGGGAGAAUGAUGGUUUUACCUUCCUUUGAGGAAGUGAAGAGAGCAGAUAUGGGGCUGAAUUGGGACUCAGCAGACGUACCAGAUGGUUUCACUAGAGCCUUUUACCAAACAUGCUGGUAAAUCAUUGAAGAAAAUGUGGUCGGCAUGGUCAAGUCUUUCUUCUGCGGUCAACAACUGCCAAAGAGUAUUACGCACACAAACCUGGUUUUGUUGCCAAAGAAAAAAGAAGUGACUACCUUUGCAGACAUGAGACCAAUCACUCUUAGCAACAUUGUUAACAAGAUUUUCUCGCAAGUCAUUCAUGAAAGGUUGGUUGAAUUAUUACCGACCAUAAUCUCAGAGGAACAGGCAGGUUUUGUGAAGGGAAGAAGCAUCGUUGAGAAUGUAAUGCUAACUCAAGAAAUCAUUAAGGAUAUCAGGUUAAGAACAAAAGCAGGUCCAAACAUUGUGAUUAAGCUAGACAUGACAAAAGCUUAUGACUGCUAACUUAAGAAAUCAUUAAGGAUAUCAUGUUAAGAACAAAAGCAGGUCCAAACAUUGUGAUUAAGCUAGACAUGUCAAAACCUUAUGAUAGAUUAUCAUGGCUAUUCCUGACUAAAUUGCAAAAGAAGAUGGGAUUUCCUGAAGAUUUUAUUGAUUUGAUUGGGAAUAAUUGGUUCUCUAUUCUUAUAAAUGGUCAGCCAAAUGGUUUUUUCAAAUCAUCAAGGGGAGUUAAGUAGGGAGACCCUCUGUCACCAACCCUAUUCAUUCUAGCAGCAGAAGCACUGUCUCGAGGUUUCAACUCACUGCAUACUAACCUGUAUUUCCGUGGAUUUGAUCUACAAAAAUGGAGUCCAAAAUAAAACCAUCUUGCAUAUGCAGAUGAUACAAUCAUUUUCUGCUCAUCUUAUGCAACUUUAUUAUCACUUGUGAUGGAGGUUCUGCAAGCUUAUGAAUCAUAAUCUGGUCCUAUGGUGAACAAAGCCAAAUCAGCCAUAUAUCUGCAUCAUUUAACGGAUGAUGAGGUGAUUAACAAGGUGGAAAGGAUUACUGGUGUAGGAAGAAAAUGUUUCCCUAUGAACUAUCUUGGAUGUCCUAAUUUUUAUGCCAGAAGAAGGAGUGAUUAUUACCAGUGUUUAAUUACUAAGGUUAUGGACAAACUACAGACGUGUAAAGGAAAACUCCUAUCUGUAGGAGGCAGGUCUGUAUUGAUCGCAAAUGUCCUGCAGAGUAUACCAAUUCAUAUGUUGUCAGCAGUUAAUCCACCAAGCUAUGUGAUCAACAAAUUACAUAGCACUUUUGCCAAAUUUUUCUGGAGCAACAAUGUGGGAGGAAGCUCAAGACAUUGGUCAUCAUGGACUAACCUGUGUAUGCCAUAUGAGGAGGGGGUAUAGGUUUCAGAUCCCUUCAUGAUGUAUCCAAGGCACUUUUCUGCAAAUUAUGGUGGAAUUUCAGGACAAAUCCAAGCUUAUGGAGUGCAUUUUUGUGUCAAAAAUAUUGCAAGAAAUUAAAUCCUGUAAAUGUACCGUGGAAAAGGGGAUCACACGUGUGGAGAAAAAUUCUUGAAUGCAGGGAUUUGAUUGAGCAUCAAAUCUGCUGGAAAUUGAGAAUGGAAUCGGCUCAAUUUUGGUUCGACAAUUGGAGCAAGAUGGGAGCUUUAUAUUUCCAACUGCAUGCACAAUUUGUAGUUGGUGAAGACAUUCACAAUGUCAAUGAUAUGGUUGAAAAUGGUAUGUGGAAUUUGGAAAAAUUAUUUCAAAUUCUACCUGAAGAUUUGGCAAACCACGUUGUGCAGAAUAUUAGACCACCCAUUGAUAGUGCAGAGUUUGAUACACCAUUCUGGAUGCUUGAAACAAGGGGACAUUUUUCUGUGAAAUUUGCAUGGGAUUACCUGUGAAGAAGAGACAUCCCAAGGAUAGCUUACAAGAUGAUAUGGGUCAAAGGCUUACCAUUAAAUAUAUAUAUUUCUUCCUGUGGAAGGUGUGGAAAGCCAAACUGCCACUUGAUGAUUUCUUGCGUAGAAUAGGAUACUUCAUGGCAUCUAAAUGUUGGUGCUGUGCAGAUCCUAAGGAGGA
rnacentral:lncRNA from 1 species